CUGUCUCUUGCUUCUAUCUUUCAGACCCAGUUGCAGAUGUGGUAAUCAUCUCAAUACAGAAAUGUUCCCAUGUUUCUUUCCUCUUCAGGGAUCUCCAGUUGUGUGACUCUUGUCCCCAAAGAAAGCUAGAGGCUUUCCAAGGACCAAGGAGACACGAGGUAUCACGUUUCUGCAAGCUGCUUCCCUCUUCUCUCUUACUUCUCAGGGCCUCCAUCGUCCACCCUGCCCUUGGCCCUACAGGCAGUUCAAGUUUGGCCACGCAAGCAAGUCAAAAUUCAUCAAAGGGAAACAUUUUCCUGCUCGUUGGGUCAGCUCCUGGUUGGUAUGUGAGCCACGUCAGCUGCUGUAACAAACAGACACUGAUAGUUCGGUGGCUGAAUACGGUAAACGUUUCUUUCUUUCUCACAAAGACGUCAGGUUGGCAUUCCUGGUUGUCAGGAAGCCACGUGACGUUCAGGGGCCUCGUUUCGUUCCGUCUUCUGGCUCUGCCCUCCCAUCUGCAUGUUGUUGGUGAAACUGAGAAAGAAACAUAGAAAGACAGGCCCACUCUGUAUGGCUGUGGCCCAAGUGACAAAUAUCGUGUUGGUCCCCAGUGCCUUGGUUAGAGCCAUCACACGGCCACCUUGCCCUUGAAGGGAGGCUGGGAGAUAUCGUGUGACCAUCUGCCCCAGAAAGAGAGGUAAACCAGGGUUUUUGUCUGAGCAGCCGCAGUGAAUGUGGAGUGUUACAAGCCUAUAAAAGUAAAGAAAACUGAGAUGAGGCCAAUCUAUGUAAUCAAAAAUAAAGACUAUGGAGAUGUUGGGAGAUUGAGGUGGACGCUGACAUUUCCACAAGCCGGUGGAGGCCGAGAAGUGCGUGCGUCUGCUGCGGUGGGACGCGCAAGCUGGGUGGCGGGGCAGUGACGCUUCUUUGGUUGACCCGGUGGUCUUCGUACAUAACUCGUUCACUUUCCUGUAGGUAUUUUUACUUCAGUAAAAAGGUUAAUAAACACACACCCAGUCACCUUAUGUCAGACAGUUUCUCAAAUGUUUUAUAACUAAUUGAAAUUUUCAGUUAUAUACAGUAUUACAUAUGUUAUUGCUUCGAAUAUGUACCACAGCUAUCCCGGGGCACAUGACAUGUCGCUUGUAAUUCUGGUUACAAAGCAUGCUGAGUCCCAUGUUUGGAUCCUCUUGAUUUUCUCCUUAUGUCCCCUCUUCUUACAAUUUCUAUUUUCCCCCUCUGGCUAAUAAAUACUUAUUAAUUUUAAACACUUUAUUAAACAUAAUCCUCUUUAUGAAGCCUGUUUUGACAGAAUUGACCAUUCUAUCGUUCAUGCUGUUUGUGAUACAAAGCACAUCUCCUGUUGAGUCCUACAGCAUUUCAGUAAACUAAUCUGACUUCAUCCCCAAGCUGGGAAGCUCUUUUGAUGGUAGAGAUUAUGCUUAAUCAUCUCUUUAUCCCUGUUCUCCAGAAAACAUAGUGAACACUUAAACAACUCUUUGUUGAGUGAACGCAUAACUGUGUAACUGUGUGAUAGGAUUCUCGAUCGUGAUUCAGUGAUUGUCAUCUUUUACAGUAAAAACACAUGGUUUUAAGACUAUAGGGUACAGUCUAACACCACUUAAAUAUUUGACAAAAUGAAGAUAUUCUGAGGUAUCUGGUUAAUGUUGUUAGUUUGGGUAAAGGAACAGGUUUCAAGGACUUGUCUCCUGAAGAAUAUUUUUGUGCCACCCGGUAUCUAUUUUCUUCUCCAUUAGAUACUUACGUGUGCAUAACGUAAGUUCUGUUAUGCAAAUAGUGUAAAUUAAAAAACACAACAGUCACUUUUGAGUUAGGAAAACCCAGACUUGAAUCUCAGCUUUAUUCAAGCUAUGUGACUUUGGACAAGUACUUUCAUUUAAGCCGUGGUUUAUUCGUCAACAGAAUAAAGAGUUUAAUUCAACCAUAAUGAUAUUGUGCAGAUUAAUGAGGUCCGUUCUAAGCACUGACUCAGGAGAUUCUCAAUAUAUGUUAAGUGCUUACUCGUUUCUUCCAUCUCCUUAAGAAGAGUUCUUAAGUUUAUCAUAAAUAUCUAAUCAGGAAACCCUAUGGCUUGCUAUUUCUGUUCAUCUUCCCUGUUUCUCUGUUUUCAAGAAAAAUACCCAACCUAAACAUCAAACUUAAUUUAUGCCACCGACUUGUUCAAUUGGUGCUGGGGCUGGGCUGAUGUAAACAGGAUACUUUUCAGUCUUGUUUCAUUUCCCAACUUCUGUUACACAUUCCCGGAGGCCGAUCAUUUGAAAAGCGCCCCCAACACAAGCAUGACUAAGGAAGGGUACGCGUGACGUAGGGGACACUGGGCUCUGGCCCUUCGUUGCUGCCUGAGGUAAACGCAGCAUCACAAAAGGCACUGAUUUAGUCAGGAAGGAGCAGCAGUGAACGUAUUAAUUGGUCAGCUCAAGAGACCCAAACAACAGCGCGAUGGCAAGUCGUCUUUGCCCGUCCAGGCCCCCCAGUCCUCAUCGCCAACAGGCUGUGUGCUUCCCACUGCCUUGUUGCCCCGCUGCACAGGGGCCUCCUUCCGAGGGCUGCCCUGGAAGAACCCAGAGCCCAGCCCCCACGGCCUCUCUCUCUGCACAGCCCCACCUCCAGAACUGAUCCCCGGAGCACAGAAGCCCCUCCUCUGUCUCUAGCAGGAACACAGUCUACAGGGCUGGGUCUCCCUGUGGGGUCAUGUGGACCCUGCUGUUACACAUCUCCCUCACUCCCUCACCGGUCGGUUUCUCCCAGAAGAAUUUCUGUAAUAAAUAUUUGCCCUAAACCCUCCUCAUCCCAAGGGCUGCUUCUGGCAAGAGAGGAAAAGGGAAGAAGCGAGUCGAGGCACACAAGAUCAGUGCAGGUGAAAAGAAGGGACAAUGCAGGGGUCCGCACGAGGAAGGCAGAUGAAAGUCUAGAAGUCCUUCCGGGACUCCUGUCUCCCCCCGCCCCUGUUUGGUGUACUGGGUGUGAAGCUGGGGGGCGGGUGGAAGCUGGAUUCUCACGAGCUGGUUAUAUAGGGUGUCCCACAGGGUAAAAAAUGAUCCUCCGGGCAGACAUUGGGAACCGCCAAUGGGUGUGGGCAAAUGUUGAGCUCCCAGGUGAAAAUCUCAUGGCAGCACGGGCAACCCGGAUGAAAAGCGUUACCUGAUGUCAGGGUGGGGCUGGCUACCUCUGGUUUUCCAACAGACUUUUCAAAGGUCAGGGGAUGUUUUGUUGUAUAAAUAUUUAUAUCCCUCUGCGCUCGGCACCCCUCGCGUAUGCACGCUGCACAAGACAAGUGGAAAUCACAGGAUCUGAAGAACGGCCAGGGCACCUCUUUUUAUAGAGUAACAACCCUUCCCUGGUGUGCUGAAAAACAACGUGUGUCCACAGGAGCUGAGCUGUGACCAAAGACAUUACUUUCCUCCUUCUAUUUUUAGAAGCACUGAUUUCAAACCACACUUCGAUUCUGACACAUACAAAUACAGCCAUUUGCUGGCAGGCAUGGGUCUAGAAAGAAUAAAAUCUCCCUUCUGUGGUAUAAAAGUCCUCUGGGUGAUGCGAGGCCGGAACUGGUGAAGAGAGGCCUUCUGUCCCCAAGGAAGGUGUGGGACGCCCACAAGCAAUGGAGUGGCCCGGGUGCGGAUAAGACACAGCUGUCCCGUCAUUGUGAUUACGAUUACGAUUGUGAGUCCAGGAGGCUCCUCGCCGAAGCACUGGUUUCACUCUUUUAAAAACAAACUCUUUCAGUCUGCCGAUGUCCCUCGCCCGGGCAUGCUGAAACACGCGAGUUACGCGUUUGCCUUGUUAAGUGCCACGCUGAGUGGUCGCUGAGGCCCUCCCUCCUGUGCGCCCCCUGCCUCCGGCCGUCAGAGCAGGGCUCUGCCUCACGAGACGUCACCGCGGCAGGGACCAAGUGCACAGCAGCAAAUAUUGUGGUUUCGCCUAAUGCCCCAACUGUGCAAACAGAUGAGCGAAAGCGUAGUUCACAAGACAGAGAGGAGGUCAGAAUCUGUCGGCGCAGACACUCCACACGGCGACUGAUACAAUGCACUUUCGCAGGGGGCUUAUUUACAGGAACAUAUCAUGAGUCUUGGCAAUUCGUAGCAGGACGUUCCAUGGAAAUUUCCCUUCUCUGCUCAGACUAAACGCAAGACAUACAGCACUCACUUUUGAUUAACGAAGGCCGUAAACACACGCCAACAGGUAUAAUACGGUAGUUUACAGCCGUGGCCUAAAUUGGCAGAUAUGCUUUCUUCUUCAUAAAACGAGAAAAGUGGCAUAGGUUGGAAAUCUUCGUGACUCUCGGCAGGACGGCUAGCUGGCCGCGGCCACCGCAGGGACUGUCUCAUUACCCACUUACCAGGAUUUGGUCUCCUCCGGCAUCAUUUAUUCAUUACCUAUACUGCGGCUUUGUAGGCUAGUCUAUAAAUACCUUUCUAAUUUGAAUUAAGAUAAUGUGCUAUCUGUGCUUGUUAGAUGUGGCAAAACGCAGCUUGUACUCACUUUAAAUCUUACCAAGUCAGAGAGCAGUUUUGCAUUCCAGAUAGAGCUAAAAAUAUUCACCCAUUAAAAUAGUAAUCAUCAUUAAAAUUAGCUCACUGAUUUUGCUGAUUAAUUUCUCGGUGACAAGUACGCUUUCUAAAAAGUUUCAAUUAAACAUUUUUUUUUUUUUGAACAAAACUCGACUUUUAAAAUCUAAACUAUCUAGGAAGAAAGGGAUAAUUAAGGAAAUAAAAAUAGAAAAUUUAAAUCUACUGUAAUUUGCACAGACUUUGUGAAGAUUCGCUGUCAAAAACCAGAGGAAGGCAAAGCAUGGAAACAGUUGUGGUGACUGGAAUGUGGGACCCAGGCCCCCUUCUUCACUUUGGGGGUGACGCACGUGCCUUGGGAAGGUGCUUUGUUUUUGUCUGCACAGGAGUGCACUAGCGGGCAUAGUAAGAGUGCAAGUGCUCAGAGCCACUCUCGUGACAUUAGAUGUUUACGUGCACGCGCUCGAUUUUCAUUUGCAACAGGCAUGCGUCCAGUCCAGCAGAAGGCUGUAGAUCCGUGACAGCAUAAAGGGGCACUUGAAAGGCAUGGAUGAAACAAAGGCUUGUUAUUGUUUGUUUUUUUGUCUUUAUUAUCUUUAUUUUAGUCACUAUGUUUAGUUAAUAUUCCCAUAUUAUAUGGGGUUAAAGACAUAAACAGGCUAAAAUCUUAUUUUAAUCAACCCUAUAGAAAAUGGUGUUUCCAUUCAAUCCUUUAGGCAAAUCAACCCCUUACUGUCAUCUUCAGAAAAUAGGCUAAUAUAGAUGCCUCUGGUUUUAAGUAUAUUAACUAUGUUGAAACUAAAAAAUGGGGCACGGGUGGUAAGACAGAAGGCUGCUGAGAAAGGUUUAGAAUACAGGGAUCAGGAGAAAGUUAUAACGUGCACUUGUGUUAAAAAUAACGUAUCAUUCGGUACUAAUUAAGGCGAUAAAGUAUUCCUUAGCUAUGAACGUUUAACGUUUCAUAUUAUUUAUAACAGACACACAUCACAAAAUAAUAGUGAAAUCCAGUACGUCACGGAUGACUAUUGUAUUGUAACAGCCACAGAAAUAUCCUCUGACACUUCUCAAAUAAUGCAUCCCAGCAGCUCCGGAGGAAGACAGAGAUUCACGCCAAAGCGAUCUGGUGUCCAGCGGGUGAGAAACGUAGCGCUUAACCUAAGGGUAUCCAUGCUCCCAUGAAAACACAGACGCACGUUUCUUUUCCGUUCAGGAGACACAGAUAAUGAGUAGUUCUCUAUUUCUUGACUUUCAAAUAUUAAACUGUCACAGCAUCCAGCCGCUUUUAAUAAUGUAACUUAGCCUCAUCUUUUAGAGCUUUAGUGAGUUAUUUUCCAGAAUUUUUGAGAAUAUGUCAUUUGAGGAACACACAUCUUACUCUAUAAUCUCUUGAACAUGUUUAUUUCAAGAGAUAUUAGAUCUAAUACUCACAAAAGUUCUUUCAUAUCUUUGGUGACAGUAUGUCUGAGGUGUUUGGGAUCUCAGAAAAAUAGACCAUCUUGCUUAUCCUGUAAUUUGAAUCGUAAAUCCGGUCCGGCAUCAGGUGGGAUUCCAACUGAGAAAGGGGAGCAGUGGUCCUGGCUCCUGCGAUCAGUGCACACUCACCAGGGAAUGAACGAGUAGGCCAGGAAACAUGUCCUCCGGCCGUCGGUUAGACGUGCCCAACUGCCUUUCCAUGUGCCCAGAUAUAAGCCAUCGUGGAAGAAUCAGCAAGAAUUUGCUGCCAAGCUCAGAGAUUUUCUCCCCAAGCAGAACUGGUGAGCUUAGGUAACUCCUAUCAUUGUAUAGCAGGGAAACUCUACACACGCGUGUUGUGGACGGAUGCUGAUCACACGGCUUUACAGUAAACUUUCUCCCAGGGGCAGGAAGCGAGGAGGAAAACCACUUGGAGAUCAGGCUAAGGCUGGCCCAAGAUUUAGACCUGAGAUGAUCAGACUUAUGAGUGCACCUGCGACCGACCAUGUCAGAACUAUCACAAGCUCCUCAACCCAUGUGUGCACCGCCCUCUCGGAGUCGCCCGCAGCAAGCUGGGACUGCCAUGGGACUGAGGGCUCACGGACGUUGUGUGAACACAUAGAAAGUUUUAGAAAAUUCAGUUCUUUUAAUGCUUCUUUUUCAGGUGAUAAAAUAUCUAAAACUCGCAAACACACAUUUGACUCUCUGUUAGCGAUUACUAAUGAUCCCUGGUUAUAAUGAGCGUGUGAAUUUCUUUGAAAUGAAAUUCUCUGUUGCUUUUCUUUUUAACGAAUCAAUUUGUGAUGGUUCUGGGAUUAUUUCAGACACGGAGGUAUGAUGUAUUUCUUCUCCCAUGGGCGUCAGAGAAUUUUAUGGUGCCCCCCCAGGUCCAGCUCUGGAAAAGGCACCUAAUGUUUCCCUAUUUCAGCUAUAUUUUGUAAAACUGUUAGCAAUGUCUAAGAUACGAGUGGGUGGAAAGGGGUGAGGAUUAUAUAAUGUUGCUAUUUUCUUUAACUUUCUUUCAUUGUAUGUUUGCUGAAUGAGUGUGAGUUUAGCACCAAUAAUUUGCACCCAGGACUGCAAAUUGGGACCUGCUUGGCCCCAGUGACCAUCACAGCGAGAGGACUCCAACAUUUGGGAAAUGACAAAUGUCUCACGUGCUUGGCUGCCCUAACAGAAUACCAUAGUCUGCGACUUAAACAACAAAUAUUUAUUUCUCAUGGCUCUGGAGGCUGGAAGUCUAAGAUCAGAGAGCUGGCGGGUUUGGCUUCUUCUGAAGCCUAUUUGGCUUGCCAAUGACCACCUUCUCCUCAAGUGUGUCCUCAAGUGGUGGGAUGGGCAAGGACGCUCUCUGGGUCUCUGUCACAAGAGCACUGCUCCCAUCACAGGGGCUCCACCCUCAUGACGUAAUCACAUCUCAAAGGACCCAUCUCCUAACUUCACACUGGGGGCAGGUAGAUCCCCAUGGAGGAAUUUGGGUGGAGGGGAGACACAAACAUUCAGUCCACAGCCAUGAGAAUUAGAGAGACCAAGAACACGCAAAAGACAGGAAGUUCUGUGUGGGAAACUAUCACUCAGCAAGAACUCAUAUAAAUCCUGGGAACAAUGACCUGUCAAUGUGGAUGGCAAUGAUAAUUCUAGGUGGCAAUGAUAAUUCUAAGAAGCAAUGUGAACUUUAGUUUCCAGUUUUGCUGAAGUCAGGGGUUUUAUUCAAUUAAAAAAAAAAAAGUUCAUCCAUUGCAUUUUGUGCCCACAGAUGAAAGAGGAAAUCGGCCUUUCUUUCAGGCACUCAGAGGGCACACGUGCCCAGAACUGCACAAACGUCACCAGUGGUGACAAUAAUGGGGCCACUUUACAUUUUACACAGGGUUGGGGUUUUCAGUAUUCAUGAUAAAGUAUGAGAAAGACAUAGGAAAUAAUAUAACAAAGUCCCAGAUUUCUCAAGUCUUUACAGUUUGAUAUGCAUGUUUCACACGUUUUUAAGAAAUUAUAAUUUACUGGUGAGUUUGAAGUCCCUUGUCAAGCCUUUUCCUCCCCCUUAGAGAUAACCAGCAUCCUGAAUUUGUCAUCCCCUUCCUAUUUUAUGCUCUGGUUAUGCACUGUUUUCAUAAAUACUAUAUUGAGUUGU